UUCGUUCCAAGCAAAAACUUGCGUGGUUCGAACGAAGAUGGAUGGGUGAAAGCCAUGCGAUGCCGAUGCUGACCAUUUACUAGUUCUUUCCGUUCGAGAACUCUUUCCGUUCGAGAACGCAGUAAGAACGAUGCCUUAGCGAGUCGUUCACGCAUCUCGAUCGAAUUAAGACAUAACUCAACUACUUGCCUUCUUAUUCUUCGUCCUACUCGAACGAUUCAACGAUGCUAUGACAAAUGAGCUGUGGAACUUGGAACUUUUACUCUUUCAUAUGGGGAACAAAUGUCGUUCUCGCGUCUCAAGGACGGUCGACAAGCUCGUCGUUUAACUUCCUAGAUUCAACUUUAGAAUUCUUUUGGAGAAAUUAUCGACCGAAUCUUUCAGUGAAUGACGCUCUAUAUG